AAGAUCUCGCUCGAUCUCCUGCCUACGUAUCUCAUCUGGUAUGAGACUCAGGGCGAUGUAGUUCCCCUUAACAGGGGAGAAACUCUCUCCUAACCAGAGACCAGGGAAACAACAAACUAAGAGGGAGACUAACUCGAGCCUAAUAGUUGUCAUGCAAUCCACAAUCCCUAAGUUGAGGUCUCUAAUCAAGCAUCUAACUCACACAGGAAGCAA
rnacentral:lncRNA from 1 species